rnacentral:rRNA from 1 species
GUUGUUAUCUGAACCUUCUCGCCAUAAAAAGUGGGGGGGCUAAGGUAGCAGUAGUUUUCAUCAUAGUCCACCAGGAUACUCUCUUGGUGUGUACUGGGUGUUAACCUCCUUUUUUCUGGUACUUGCUAUCCAGCAAUGGGUAGUUUUGUCCAGAUAGUUUACUUUGAAAAAUUAGAGUGUUCAAAGCAGGCAUAAUUGGCAUCAUGAAUACAUUAGCAUGGGAUAAUAGAAUAUGACAUUGGUCUUAUUUUGUUGGUUUCUAAGGCCAAAGUAAUGAUUGAUAGGGAUAGUUGGGGCCGCUCGUAUUGAGUUGUCAGAGGUGAAAUUCUAGGAUUUACUCAAGACGAACUAAUGCGAAAGCAUUCGGCAAGGAUGUUUUCAUUAAUCAAGAACGAAAGUUGGGGGAUCGAAGAUGAUCAGAUACCGUCGUAGUCUCAACCAUAAACUAUGUCAACCGAGGAUCCGGUAGCGUUACAUGGAUGACCUUCCGGGCACUCUGUGAGAAAUCAUAAGUA